AGUGAACGCUGGCGGCAGGCCUAACACAUGCAAGUCGAGCGGCAGCACGGAGCUUGCUCCCGCAUACAGCGGCGGACGGGCGAGUAAUUCCUAGGAAUCUGCCUGGUUGUGGGGGAUAACGUGCGGAAACGGGCGCUAAUACCGCAUAAGUCCUGAGGGAGAAAGUGGGGGAGCUUCGGACCUCACGCCAUCAGAUGAGCCUAUGUCGGAUUAGCUAGUUGGUGGGGUAAAGGCCUACCAAGGCGACGAUCCGUAGCUGGUCUGAGAGGAUGAUCAGUCACACUGGAACUGAGACACGGUCCAGACUCCUACGGGAGGCAGCAGUGGGGAAUAUUGGACAAUGGGCGCAAGCCUGAUCCAGCCAUGCCGCGUGUGUGAAGAAGGUCUUCGGGUUGUAAAGCACUUUAGGUUGGAAAGAAAGGCAGUAAGUUAAUACCUUGCUGUUUUGACGGUACCAAAAGAAUAAGCACCGGCUAACUUCGUG
rnacentral:rRNA from 1 species